GAUGAAGAACGUAGCGAAAUGCGAUACGUAAUGUGAAUUGCAAAUUCAGUGAAUCAUCGAGUCUUUGAACGCACAUUGCGCCCCCUGGUAUUCCGGGGGGCAUGCCUGUUCGAGCGUCAUUACAACCCUCAAGCUCUGCUUGGUAUUGGGCCCCGCCAGUUCUGGCGGGCCCUAAAGUCAGUGGCGGUGCCUUCCGGCUCCGAGCGUAGUAAUUCUUCUCGCUCUGGAGACCCGGUUGUGUGCUUGCCAACAACCCCCAAUUUUUUAAGGUUGACCUCGGAUCAGGUAGGGAUACCCGCUGAACUUAAGCAUAUCAAUAAGCGGAGGA
rnacentral:misc_RNA from 1 species